UACGUAGGGUGCGAGCGUUAAUCGGAAUUACUGGGCGUAAAGCGUGCGCAGGCGGUUAUUUAAGUCAGGUGUGAAAGCCCUGGGCUUAACCUAGGAAUUGCGCUUGAGACUGGAUAGCUUGGAGUGCGGCAGAGGGAGGUGGAAUUCCACGUGUAGCAGUGAAAUGCGUAGAGAUGUGGAGGAACACCGAUGGCGAAGGCAGCCUCCCGGGCCAGCACUGACGCUCAUGCACGAAAGCGUGGGGAGCAAACAGG
rnacentral:rRNA from 1 species